UGACUGUCUGUGUGUGACUGUGUCUGUGUGUGACUGUCUGUGUGACUGCCUGUGGGUGUGUGUGUGACUGUCUGUGUGGGUGUGACUGUGUCUGUGUGUGUGUGACUGUGUGUGACUGUCUGAGAGUGUGUGACUGUCUGACAGUGUGUGACUGUCUGUGUGUGAGUGUGUGACUGUCUGUGUGUGUGUGACUGUGUCUGUGUGUGACUGUCUGAGAGUGUGUGACUGUCUGUGUGACU